GAUGCUGACGAGUGGCGGACGGGUGAGUAACGCGUAGGAAUCUGCCCAUCUGUGGGGGAUACCAGUUGGAAACGACUGUUAAUACCGCAUAAUAUCUGCGGAUUAAAGGUGGCCUUUGUGCUGCCGCAGAUGGAUGAGCCUGCGUUGGAUUAGCUAGUUGGUAGGGUAAGGGCCUACCAAGGCUACGAUCCAUAGCUGAUUUGAGAGGAUGAUCAGCCACAUUGGGACUGAGACACGGCCCAAACUCCUACGGGAGGCAGCAGUGGGGAAUAUUGGACAAUGGGGGAAACCCUGAUCCAGCAAUGCCAUGUGUGUGAAGAAGGCUCUAGGGUUGUAAAGCACUUUAGUUGGGGAGGAAAGCCUAUAAGUUAAUAGCUUGUAGGAAGGACGUUACCCAAAGAAUAAGGACCGGCUAACUCCGUGCCAGCAGCCGCGGUAAUACGGGGGGUCCGAGCGUUAAUCGGAAUUACUGGGCGUAAAGGGUCUGUAGGUGGUUUGUUAAGUCAGAUGUGAAAGCCCAGGGCUCAACCUUGGAACUGCAUUUGAUACUGGCAAACUAGAGUAUGGUAGAGGAAUGGGGAAUUUCUGGUGUAGCGGUGAAAUGCGUAGAGAUCAGAAGGAACACCAAUGGCGAAGGCAACAUUCUGGAUCAAUACUGACACUGAGGGACGAAAGCGUGGGGAUCAAACAGGAUUAGAUACCCUGGUAGUCCACGCUGUAAACGAUGAGUACUAGCUGUUGGAUUCGGUGUAAAGGAUCUAGUGGCGCAGCUAACGCGUUAAGUACUCCGCCUGGGGACUACGGCCGCAAGGCUAAAACUCAAAGGAAUUGACGGGGACCCGCACAAGCGGUGGAGCAUGUGGUUUAAUUCGAUGCAACGCGAAGAACCUUACCUGGUCUUGACAUCCUGCGAACUUUCUAGAGAUAGAUUGGUGCCUUCGGGAACGCAGUGACAGGUGCUGCACGGCUGUCGUCAGCUCGUGUUGUGAAAUGUUGGGUUAAGUCCCGCAACGAGCGCAACCCCUAUUGAUAGUUACCAUCAUUAAGUUGGGUACUCUAUUGAGACUGCCGCUGACAAGGCGGAGGAAGGUGGGGACGACGUCAAGUCAUCAUGGCCCUUACGACCAGGGCUACACACGUGCUACAAUGGGUAUUACAGAGGGCUGCGAAGGUGCGAGCUGGAGCGAAACUCAGAAAGGUACUCUUAGUCCGGAUUGCAGUCUGCAACUCGACUGCAUGAAGUCGGAAUCGCUAGUAAUCGCAGGUCAGAAUACUGCGGUGAAUACGUUCCCGGGUCUUGUACACACCGCCCGUCACACCAUGGGAGUGGGUUGCUCCAGAAGUAGAUAGUUUAACGAAUGGGCGUUUACCACGGAGUGAUUCAUGACUGGGGUGAAGUCGUAACAAGGUAGCCGUAGGGGAACCUGCGGCUGGAUCACCUCCUUAACGGAAAUACGAAAAAAUAGAAAUAAGCUCUAAUUACAUAUUCAAGUGAUUUAGCAUGGUGUUUGUAGAUAAUAUAUUUUAGUGUAAAUAGAAUGCGGGUCUGUAGCUCAGUUGGUUAGAGCGCACCCCUGAUAAGGGUGAGGUCGGUAGUUCGAGUCUACUCAGACCCACCAGUAAUUUUGGGGCCAUAGCUCAACUGGGAGAGCACCUGCUUUGCACGUAGGGGGUUAGCGGUUCGAUCCCGCUUGGCUCCACCAUAUUUAUUUACACGAAGAUAGAGAUAUUUAACAAUUUAGUAUAGAAAUAGACUUAAGUAAAUAAGUGCAAGCGGUAGAUGCCUUGGCAUUCAGAGGCGAUGAAGGACGUGUUAAUCUGCGAUAAGCUUCGGGGAGCUGGUAAAUAAGCUUUGAUCCGGAGAUUUCCGAAUGGGGGAACCCACCUAACACAAGUUAGGUACUCACUCGACAUAGAGUGUAGAGCGAACGAGGGGAACUGAAACAU
rnacentral:rRNA from 1 species